GACGAACCGUGCGAACGUUGUUCGGAAUCACUGGGCUUGAAGGGCGCGUAGGCGGGCGACCAAGUCCGGGGUGAAAUCCCACGGCCCAACCGUGGAAGGGCCCCGGAUACUGGCCGCCUCGAGGGAGGUAGGGGCGUGUGGAACUUCCGGUGGAGCGGUGAAAUGCGUAGAGAUCGGAAGGAACGCCGGUGGCGAAAGCGACACGCUGGACCUCUUCUGACGCUGAGGCGCGAAAGCCAGGGGAGCAAACGGG
rnacentral:rRNA from 1 species